rnacentral:tRNA from 1 species
CAGAGCAUAGCGAAAAAGUAAAGCAACUCCCUUACACUGAGUAGAUGUCCUUGCAACUAGGACUGCCCUGA